rnacentral:rRNA from 1 species
CCUGGUUGAUCUUUCUAGUUGUCACAUGUUUGUCUCAAAGAUGAAGCCAUGCAUGUGUAAGUAUGAACAAAUUCAUUCUGUAAAAGUGCAAAUGGCUUAUUAAAUAAGUUAUAGUUUGUUUGAUGGUAUCUACUACUUGGAUAACCGUAGUAAUUCUAGAGCUAAAAGGUGCAACAAAACUCAACUUUUGGAAGGGAUGCAUUUAUUAUAUAAAAGGUCGAUACGGGUAUGGCCCAUCAUGGCGAUGAUUUAUGAUAACUCGAUAGAUCGCACGACCAUCGUGCCGGCAAUGCAUCAUUCAAAUUUCAGCCCUAUCAACUCUCAAUGGUAGGAUAGUUGCUUACCAUGGUGGUGAUGGGUGAUGGAGAAUUAGGGUUCGAUUUAGGACAGAGAACCUGAUAACAUCCUAGGAAGGCAGUAGGUGCACAAAUUACCCAAUCCUAACAUGGGGAGGUUUUCACAAAAUAUUAUAAUACCGGGCUCAAUGAGUCUGGUAAUUAGAAUGAGUACAAACUAAAUUCCUUAAAGAGGAUCCAUUGGAGGGCAAGUGUGGUGCCAGCAUCUGCGGUAAUUCCAUCUCGAAUAGCAUAUAUUUGAGUUAUUGCAGUUAAAAAGCUCAUAGCUGGACAUUGUGAUGGGCUGGCCGAUUCAUCUAUGGUGUGCACUGGUCAUCUCAUCCCUUCUGUCGGUGAUGCGCUCUUGGCCUUAACUGAUUGGGUCGUGCCUCCGACGCUGUUACUUUGAUAAAAUUAGAGAGCUCAAAGCAAGGCCGCGCUCUGUAUACAUUAGCAUGGGAUAACAUUAUAGGAUUUCGGUCCUAUUAAGUUGGCAUUAUGGAUCAGAGUAAUGAUUAAUAGGGACAGUCUGGGGCAUUCGUAUUUCAUAGCCAGAGGUGAAAUUCUAGGAUUUAUGAAAGACGAACAACUGAGAAAGCAUUUUCCAAUGAUGUUUUCAUUAAUCAAGAAUAAAAAUUGUGGGCUCGAAGAUGAUCAGAUACCAUCCUAGUCUCAACCAUAAACGAUGCCGACCCUGGAUCGGCAGAUGUUUCUUUUAGGACUCCGCCGACACCUUAUGUGAAAUUAAAGUUAUUGGGUUCGGGUGGGAGUAUGGUCGCAAGGCUGAAACUUAAUGGAAUUGACAGAAGGGCACCACCAGGAGUGGAGCAUGCAACUUAAUUUGACUCAACACAUGGAAACAUACCAGGUCCAGACAUAGUAAAGUGUCGUUUGGUAGAGUGUGUUAACAAAAAUAACACAUGCAUUAUUUAUUUCUAUUAUUAAUACAUGGAUUGGGACAAUUUUUAUCUAUGGAUAACUAAUACCUUAUAUUAGUUAUACACUAUAUUUGGUAUUUGACUAUGUAUUACUAAUUCCCCAUCUUUUAUAUGUAUUAGUAAUACAAAAUAUUUCAAUACAUGCAUUACAUUAUUAAAUUACAAAUUUACUCCUUAAAUUACCAAUUUCUUUCUCACCAUUUCUCCACACCUUCUUCCUUCCUAAUCAAUCAUCUUCUUAUUUUUCUGAUUUCUUUCUUUUUACUUUCUUCAGAUUAAAUUUUGUCAAUUUCAUUCCGCCACAAUGUCAACAUUCCUUAAACAACCCAAA